rnacentral:rRNA from 1 species
GACGAACGCUGGCGGCGUGCUUAACACAUGCAAGUCGAACGGAAAGGCCCUGCUUUUGUGGGGUGCUCGAGUGGCGAACGGGUGAGUAACACGUGAGUAACCUGCCCUUGACUUUGGGAUAACUUCAGGAAACUGGGGCUAAUACCGGAUAGGAGCUCCUGCUGCAUGGUGGGGGUUGGAAAGUUUCGGCGGUUGGGGAUGGACUCGCGGCUUAUCAGCUUGUUGGUGGGGUAGUGGCUUACCAAGGCUUUGACGGGUAGCCGGCCUGAGAGGGUGACCGGCCACAUUGGGACUGAGAUACGGCCCAGACGCCUACGGGAGGCAGCAGUGGGGAAUAUUGCACAAUGGGCGGAAGCCUGAUGCAACAACGCCGCGUGCGGGAUGACGGCCUUCGGGUUGUAAACCGCUUUCGCCUGUGACGAAGCGUGAGUGACGGUAAUGGGUAAAGAAGCACCGGCUAACUACGUG